rnacentral:rRNA from 1 species
UACGAAGGGGGCUAGCGUUGCUCGGAAUCACUGGGCGUAAAGGGUGCGUAGGCGGGUCUUUAAGUCAGGGGUGAAAUCCUGGAGCUCAACUCCAGAACUGCCUUUGAUACUGAAGAUCUUGAGUUCGGGAGAGGUGAGUGGAACUGCGAGUGUAGAGGUGAAAAUUCGUAGAUAUUCGCAAGAACACCAGUGGCGAAGGCGGCUCACUGGCCCGAUACUGACGCUGAGGCACGAAAGCGUGGGGAGCA